UUUUGUUACACAAAUAUUACAAAAUAUGUUCCAAUUGAACCAACUAGACAAGGACCGUGUUAAUAUUUUUCUUCUCAUUAUUGUGAAACAUGCAAAAAUCAAGCAGUGCUCGAGUAUAUAUACGACGUCUUUAAAUACAGUAUAAAGGAAGUUUACCGAAUUGCCAUAUUAAUUGUUAUUAUAACACACAAGCAUGACGUAGACCAAUUACAAGAGGUAAGUAAAUUUGUUCAAAGUUAUGUGACAAGUGACAUAAGACUAAUUGAUGCUGUUAAACAAAAAUAAAAAAGCGAAUUCAGGAAUACAGUAGAUAUGUCACAAUGUAUGGGACCCUUACGUAAAGCUAAUAAACA